CCUCCUCUGUGACGGAAGAGGCACGGCCACGUUAUCCGAGAGGCGUAAAAGGCGUCCUAAGGGAAGCACCCCGCCGUGUUCACUCAGAAGUCAGUUCAAGAGUUAAGCGUGCUUAGUAUCGGAGCAGCCUCACGCAGCCUGUCGCUGUUGCUCGUUUGUCUCUGGGCGGGAGAAAGUGCGUGUUUGUUUCACCGACAACACCCAGCCGGGCUUUCCAAAGACAUUUAAGGAGCAGCACAGGGGCCGGCAGCGACUCGUGGACCAACAGCCCCCUCACAGACAGCAGUUGCUGCCGCCUGUAAAACGCAGCACCACUCCCUCACCUUGCCACUUUCAGGUGCAGUCAGCGCUAGGGUCACUCGCCCUUUCGCCCCUCUUCUCCCCGUGUAAGUGCGUCUGCUCAUGCUAUCGCUUCCACGAGCCCUGCUCUACACAAAUUAGAAAUCAGCACUGUGCGCACGCGCCUUCCCUUCUGACGCUUCUAAAAGAGCCCGAGCCCACGGGGAUAGACCCUCCUUUGGGGGCGUGUCGGCCGUAGUUGAGCGGUAGUGCCGCGUCAUACAGGGGCAAACCACAAUUUCCAGCGCCUUCAAUCAGUCCAUGUUAGGGUUGAUUGCCGAAGUGUGUUGAGUUGCAGUUUGUUCGCACAACGCAGCUUUCGCAUUUAAUCCUGGGGGUAUCACCAGAAUCGGGAUUCACGGGCGGUUGGAGAAUAAGCUUGUUAAAGUUUUUUUUUUAAAAAAAACAAGUAUUUGCAGAGCUGGAUGGUACUACAGGAAAAGGUGGAGGACACACACAUAGUUUUAUGGCCCUUUCUGUCUUUGUUUUAAGAAAGAGAGUCCCCUAGACAGCUAUGUCAAAAAGCCUCAGUAAAAAAGAAAGCUGACAGCAGUGAUUGGAAAACGGUAGUGUGCUGAAUGCUAUUAGUCUACAAUUCCCAUCUCCUCUGAUUAUUAGUCACGCUGAGUGGGGCUGAUGGGAGUUAAUCCAACAAACACCUUGCAGGGCACAGAUACCCCAUUUCUGAGCACUGAUUACAGUAAGGCACAGUACUGCCUAGGGCUGAUGGAUUGUUGUCCAAAACACAUGGAGACCACAGGCUGGUGAAGGCUGCAAUAAGGUUUAGAUUGCAGGGUUCAAGCGAGAGAUCCUGUGGAUCAGAAUCUGGAUGGCAUCUGCACCUAUGCUUGCUUUAAUCAGAAGAAUGGGACCGUCCCGUUCCAGUUGACAGCAGCACCCUCCCACUUAGUUCGGAUUGCCAUUUUGACAGAAGGGAGUCUCUUUUCUGAAGCACCAUCCUCCUCACAGUGCUUUUCUUCCCAAUGAUGAGAAUGAGUGUCUGAAAUAAAAACAAACA